UGGGGAAUAUUGCACAAUGGAGGGAACUCUGAUGCAGCGACGCCGCGUGAGUGAUGAAGGAAUUCGUUUCGUAAAACUCUGUUCUAUGGGAAGAAAAGGACUGUACCAUAGGAGAAAGCUCCGGCAAAAUUCGUGCCAGCAGCCGCGGUAAUACGUAUGGAGCGAGCGUUGUCCGGAAUUAUUGGGCGUAAAGGGUGCGUAGGCGGCUUUACAAGUUGGAUGUGAAAUAUUGUGGCUCAACCACAGACGUGCAUCCAAAACUGCAAAGCUUGAGUUCAGGAGAGGUUAGUGGAAUUCCUGUUGUAGCGGUGGAAUGCGUAGAUAGUAUGAUUAAUACCGGUGGCGAAGGCGACUAACUGGUCUUAAACUGACGCUCAGGCACGAAAGCGUGGGGAGCAAACAGG
rnacentral:rRNA from 1 species